AAAUGCCGUAGGAUGUUGCGGACGGCAACCACCGGCUGGCCGAAGGACAGCCCUCCCUGGGGAUAAACACAUGACGGCUCAAGGCACGCAAGGCGUGGGGGAGCAAACAGGGAUUAGAUACCCUGGUAGUCCACGCCCUAAACGAUGUCAACUAGCUGAUGGGGCCUUCCGACCUUGGUAGCGCAGCUAACGCGUGAAGUUGACCGCCUGGGGAGUACGGUCGCAAGAUUAAAACUCAAAGGAAUUGACGGGGACCCGCACAAGCGGUGGAUGAUGUGGAUUAAUUCGAUGCAACGCGAAAAACCUUACCUACCCUUGACAUGUCUGGAAUUCCGAAGAGAUUUGGAAGUGCUCGCAAGAGAACCGGAACACAGGUGCUGCAUGGCUGUCGUCAGCUCGUGUCGUGAGAUGUUGGGUUAAGUCCCGCAACGAGCGCAACCCUUGUCAUUAGUUGCUACGAAAGGGCACUCUAAUGAGACUGCCGGUGACAAACCGGAGGAAGGUGGGGAUGACGUCAAGUCCUCAUGGCCCUUAUGGGUAGGGCUUCACACGUCAUACAAUGGUCGGGACAGAGGGUCGCCAACCCGCGAGGGGGAGCCAAUCCCAGAAACCCGAUCGUAGUCCGGAUCGCAGUCUGCAACUCGACUGCUUAAGUCGGAAUCGCUAGUAAUCGCGGAUCAGCAUGUCGCGGUGAAUACGUUCCCGGGUCUUGUACACACCGCCCGUCACACCAUUUUAGUGGGUUUUACCAGAAGUAGUUAGGGUGACCGC
rnacentral:rRNA from 1 species